GCGCCAUUAGCUCAGUUGGUAGAGCACUCGACUUUUAAUCGAGUUGUCACAAGUUCAAAUCUUGUAUGGCGCACCA
rnacentral:tRNA from 1 species